rnacentral:rRNA from 1 species
CCUACGGGAGGCAGCAGUAAGGAAUGUUGGUCAAUGGACGCAAGUCUGAACCAGCCAUGCCGCGUGAAGGAUUAAGGUCCUCUGGAUUGUAAACUUCUUUUAUCUGGGACGAAAAAAGGCGAUUCUUCGUCACUUGACGGUACCAGAUGAAUAAGCACCGGCUAACUCCGUGCCAGCAGCCGCGGUAAUACGGAGGGUGCAAGCGUUAUCCGGAUUCACUGGGUUUAAAGGGUGCGUAGGCGGGCAGGUAAGUCAGUGGUGAAAUCCUAGAGCUUAACUCUAGAACUGCCAUUGAUACUAUCUGUCUUGAAUAUUGUGGAGGUAAGCGGAAUAUGUCAUGUAGCGGUGAAAUGCUUAGAUAUGACAUAGAACACCUAUUGCGAAGGCAGCUUACUACGCAUAUAUUGACGCUGAGGCACGAAAGCGUGGGGAUCAAACAGGAUUAGAUACCCUGGUAGUCCACGCCCUAAACGAUGAUUACUCGACAUUUGUGAUACACUAUAAGUGUCUGAGNGAAGACGAUUAAGUUAAGUACCUACCGUUACGGAAGGUAACGUUAACCGACCGAAGGUUAGGUUAACGUUACGAAGUUAGAGUUAGACGGACGUUGAGACGUUAGCCGACGGACGACGACGAGGGGAAGGUAAGGAG